rnacentral:rRNA from 1 species
AGUCGAGCGGUAACAUUUCAAAGCUUGCUUUGAAGAUGACGAGCGGCGGACGGGUGAGUAAUGCUUGGGAAUAUGCCUUAUGGUGGGGGACAACAGUUGGAAACGACUGCUAAUACCGCAUAAUGUCUACGGACCAAAGGGGGGGAUCUUCGGACCUCUCGCCAUUUGAUUAGCCCAAGUGAGAUUAGCUAGUUGGUGAGGUAAUGGCUCACCAAGGCGACGAUCUCUAGCUGGUUUGAGAGGAUGAUCAGCCACACUGGGACUGAGACACGGCCCAGACUCCUACGGGAGGCAGCAGUGGGGAAUAUUGCACAAUGGGCGCAAGCCUGAUGCAGCCAUGCCGCGUGUGUGAAGAAGGCCUUCGGGUUGUAAAGCACUUUCAGUAAGGAGGAAAGGGAUGUAGUUAAUAGCUGCAUUCUGUGACGUUACUUACAGAAGAAGCACCGGCUAACUUCGUGCCAGCAGCCGCGGUAAUACGAGGGGUGCAAGCGUUAAUCGGAAUUACUGGGCGUAAAGCGUUCGUAGGCGGUUGAUUAAGCAAGAUGUGAAAGCCCAGGGCUCAACCUUGGAACUGCAUUUUGAACUGGUCAACUAGAGUACUGUAGAGGGUGGUGGAAUUUCCAGUG